rnacentral:rRNA from 1 species
CCAGGACGAACGCUGGCGGCGUGCCUAAUACAUGCAAGUCGAGCGGACAGAAGGGAGCUUGCUCCCGGAUGUUAGCGGCGGACGGGUGAGUAACACGUGGGUAACCUGCCUGUAAGACUGGGAUAACUCCGGGAAACCGGAGCUAAUACCGGAUAGUUCCUUGAACCGCAUGGUUCAAGGAUGAAAGACGGUUUCGGCUGUCACUUACAGAUGGACCCGCGGCGCAUUAGCUAGUUGGUGAGGUAACGGCUCACCAAGGCGACGAUGCGUAGCCGACCUGAGAGGGUGAUCGGCCACACUGGGACUGAGACACGGCCCAGACUCCUACGGGAGGCAGCAGUAGGGAAUCUUCCGCAAUGGACGAAAGUCUGACGGAGCAACGCCGCGUGAGUGAUGAAGGUUUUCGGAUCGUAAAGCUCUGUUGUUAGGGAAGAACAAGUGCAAGAGUAACUGCUUGCACCUUGACGGUACCUAACCAGAAAGCCACGGCUAACUACGUGCCAGCAGCCGCGGUAAUACGUAGGUGGCAAGCGUUGUCCGGAAUUAUUGGGCGUAAAGGGCUCGCAGGCGGUUUCUUAAGUCUGAUGUGAAAGCCCCCGGCUCAACCGGGGAGGGUCAUUGGAAACUGGGAAACUUGAGUGCAGAAGAGGAGAGUGGAAUUCCACGUGUAGCGGUGAAAUGCGUAGAGAUGUGGAGGAACACCAGUGGCGAAGGCGACUCUCUGGUCUGUAACUGACGCUGAGGAGCGAAAGCGUGGGGAGCGAACAGGAUUAGAUACCCUGGUAGUCCACGCCGUAAACGAUGAGUGCUAAGUGUUAGGGGGUUUCCGCCCCUUAGUGCUGCAGCUAACGCAUUAAGCACUCCGCCUGGGGAGUACGGUCGCAAGACUGAAACUCAAAGGAAUUGACGGGGGCCCGCACAAGCGGUGGAGCAUGUGGUUUAAUUCGAAGCAACGCGAAGAACCUUACCAGGUCUUGACAUCCUCUGACAACCCUAGAGAUAGGGCUUUCCCUUCGGGGACAGAGUGACAGGUGGUGCAUGGUUGUCGUCAGCUCGUGUCGUGAGAUGUUGGGUUAAGUCCCGCAACGAGCGCAACCCUUGAUCUUAGUUGCCAGCAUUCAGUUGGGCACUCUAAGGUGACUGCCGGUGACAAACCGGAGGAAGGUGGGGAUGACGUCAAAUCAUCAUGCCCCUUAUGACCUGGGCUACACACGUGCUACAAUGGACAGAACAAAGGGCUGCGAGACCGCAAGGUUUAGCCAAUCCCACAAAUCUGUUCUCAGUUCGGAUCGCAGUCUGCAACUCGACUGCGUGAAGCUGGAAUCGCUAGUAAUCGCGGAUCAGCAUGCGCGGNUGAAUACGUUCCCGGGCCUUGUACACACCGCCCGUCACACCACGAGAGUUUGCAACAUCCGAAGUCGGUGAGGUAACCUUUAUGGAGCAGUCNCGAGUGGGGCAAUGAUGGGUGAU